rnacentral:rRNA from 1 species
UACGAGGGGGGCGAGCGUUGUUCGGAAUUAUUGGGCGUAAAGGGUGCGUGGGCGGUUUGGUAAGUCUUAUGUGAAAUCUACAGGCUCAACUUGUAGUCUGCAUGAGAAACUGCCGGGCUUGAGUAUGGGAGAGGUGAGUGGAAUUCCUGGUGUAGCGGUGAAAUGCGUAGAUAUCAGGAGGAACACCUGUGGCGAAAGCGGCUCACUGGACCAUAACUGACGCUGAUGCACGAAAGCUAGGGGAGCAAACAGG